GUUCCGGUCGGCCCGGCUGCGGGGGGGGGAAGGUUUUGGGAGACGGACCCGGGAGUCCCGGCCUCGUCUCCUGGCUUCCGGCUCGGGGCAGGUAUAUAACAGAGGUGGAAUUAUCUUGUCCUCACUGAGCAAGCAGCACUGUUCUCACAGGUACCUUUGCUGUGUCCUUGGACCCAAACCUCUAUAAGCUGGGAUCUGUGAGCAGAAUUGAGAGCUCUGGCUACAGAUCUUUAGCUCAACUUAAUACUGUGUCUGUCUAGAAAACAUGAAUCAGGAGAGCAACCCGAGCGAACUACCUGGUGGCCAGGACCCACUCCUAUUGCUGAAAACCCUUCAGUCUCUCUGGACAAAGAAAGAGAUGAAGAAGCAGCUCAAGGAAGAAACCAGGCGGGGCUUUGCAGGUCUGGAAGACCCAUUGGCAGGGCUCUUGGACAUGCUGGAGAACAGCAGCGAUUGGAAGGGGAAAGGGCACUCCCUUGGGUAUUACAUCACCAAUGAGUUGCAGCUUUGGAUAAAGGAGCAUCCCGCUGUUCAGCAGACUGGUUUGAAGUUGAAGAAGCUCCAGGCCCGAGUGUUCAGAAUACUAGUCCAGUGCCAACCUAAUCUCAUUGAUCCACUUGUCAACAUUUAUCAGCUCCUUACAGCAGACCGGAGCUAUCUGCUUGGACACGUCAGUCACCUUUACUACAAUGGCAAGUACAAAGAGGCAGUCAUUCUGAGCAUAAAGCUAAGAUUGCAGCAGGAUCAAGACUUGGAGAAGAUGUGCACUCCACUGCUGCUUCAAGAUAAAACUAACUUAGUGGAGGCUUAUGUAGCAGAAGAUCCCAAUCUUCAGUGCAAACUUUUACAGAUCCUGGAUGCAUGGCGUGAACCCAGUUUUAAUAUUAAAGACAUUGCAAGGCAGUAUCAAGGUUUGCUCAACUACAGACCGGAUAAAUUUAACCACAAAAUGUUGAGCAAGCUGGUCUUCAGGCUCCUUAAACAAUAUAACUUAGAUCCAGCUCUUUGUCCUAAUGUCAUCAAUCAGCAACACCUAGGAUCCCUGAAAUAUCUCUUCUACAAGAGGUUUGUUGAGAAAAGCAUGACUCAGGAGAACUGGACAGAUCAUGUUCAGAGCACCGUGGGGGACAAUCGGUGGCUACAAGAGCAGCUGAUCCGGCUCCUGGUCAGUUAUUGUGAUUUGAACACUGCAGCCAGGUGGGCUUUUCACUACAACUUCCCUAAGGAGAACCUGCCUUAUGGAGUGGCUGAUGAGCUUCAGAGACUCAAGAUCCAGGAGAGGGUAGAAGAUGCUGAGAGAACUGAUGAUUAUGAAGAGGACAGGAAGAAGAAUUAUUACCAGCUGCCCAUUCCCAGGGAGAACAUUCACUUCCUGCAGACAUGGGAAGAGAUGCAGCAGUGCAGGGAACAGGUGCUGCAGGCUGGCCAAGUGAUUGGCAUUGACAUGGAGUGGAGACCUUCGUUUGGCAGUGUGGGGAGGUCGCGUGUCUCCUUGCUUCAGCUCGCUGUCAAGGACCAGGUGUUUCUCUUGGAUCUGCUGCAGUUCCAGGAGGAGGCUGAGCAGGAGAAGCUUUCUCACUUUAUCCAGACACUCUUUUCAGACCCGGCCAUCACUAAGCUAGGUUAUGGGAUGUCUGGAGAUCUCACCAGCCUUGCUGCAACGUGCUCUACUUUUAAAAACCUGAACAGGGAGGUGCAAGGCACAGUGGACCUGUUCACAGUAGAUAAACAAUUACAGAAAUGCUUCAGAGACUGGAGGAAGGAUGUCCGGAAGGUCGACGUACUGUCACAGGAGCAGAGCUGUGAGGAAAGAGGGUUCAGGCAGGCAGAAAAAGGACUCAGCCUGCUGGUGCAGCAUGUCCUGGGAAAGCCUCUGGAUAAAACAGAGCAGCUGUCCAACUGGGAGAAACGGCCCCUUCGUGAGGAGCAGAUCCUCUAUGCAGCUUGUGAUGCAUAUUGCUUGUUGGAAGUGUAUGGGAAGCUGUCUGAGGAUCCAGCAGCCUUUGGUCUGAGUUCAGACCUUGCUGAGUGCCUGGUGGAGAAACAAGCCACAAAAUCAAGGGCAAAGAGGCCGCUAAAUAAACAAAAAAUGCCAUCGACUUCCAAACAGCAGUCCAAAGGGGUUGUCAAGGAGGCCUCAAACCCCUCUCCCGUCAUCUCUCCCAAAGAGUUUAGUGUGGUCUGCGACAAUAUGCUGCAGGGACUUGGGCGCUACCUUCGCUGUCUUGGGGUGGAUGUCCGGAUGCUAGAGAAUGAUGAUGACCAUAGAAAAGCCGCUGAGAUUGCCCGGCAGGAAGGAAGGGUCAUUUUAACCUCUGGACUCCCAUAUCAGACGCUGCAGUCCCAGGUAGGAGAAGGGAGAUGUUUCUCUGUGAACUGUUCAGAAAAAGCAAGGGAGCAGGCCCUACAAGUUCUGAAACACUUCAAUGUUCAAGUGGCUCUGGCAGAUAUCUUCAGUCGCUGUCAGGAACACCUUUUUAUAGGGACAUUAAGUACAGGAAAGUGGGAGGCAAGGUUGAGCAUUGUGACCGUCCAUGGGAAGAGAGAAGAGACAUCACAAAGAAAGGAAGGCAUUGUUCCUGUUUGUGGUUCUUCAGUAUGACUCUGUUGUUCCUACUUGUUGGAUUUAACUGAACAAGAUUUGUCCAACUACAUCCCAGCAUCCCUCCCUGAAGACAGGGAAUAAAGAGCAGAGCAUCUUACAGGUGCGUUGAAUUCUAACAGGAGGAGGACAAACUCGGCGUGGGGCCCUGUGUGCAGUGCCCAGAAUCUGUAGGCAAGUGCUAGAGUUCCUCUUCCAAGUCACAUAGCCAUGCAGACCCACCACGUGGAGAGGCUUCCACACUCAUGGACUUUACCUCAGCUUCUCUUCUUUGAACGGCUCUCUACAGGCUCAGAACCUCCUUUAAUGCAAAUAGGAUGGAGGACACUAUAGCCCCUAUUGCUGAAAUGUGGCUUCUCUAGAAAUGCUGUGGGAGCAGUUUGUCCUUCUCCUGCACGUGAAUCUGAACAGCUCUGUGCUGUGACAAUUGGAUGGACUGGCUCACAAAUGCAUUUGAAAGUGCUUUUUUUCCCAGGAGGAUUACACAGCCUUUUUAGCUUUGAUUCCCCCCCACCCCCCUCUCCCCCCUUCCCUCUGUUAUUUUGGUGCCAUUCCCUAGGGGAAACCUACUUAGCUUGGACAGUGUUCCCACCAGAAAGUCAAAAACCUCUCCCCAUAAUUUUUCUCUCCUUUUUUGGGUUAAUAGCAAUAGGUCCCAUGACAAAACAAACAUAAAUCUGUGUGCUAGGAGCAUUGCUUUUCUCCUUAAAGAGAGAGUUGUCCCCUAGGGCUGGCACAAACCUUCAGCCUCUGCUUGAACUUUGCAGUUCAGUGAUGACUCGCACUGUUCGAGUUGAAGGUAGAAUGUGGACCUUUUCACAUAACAGCCUAUGAGAAUCAUCUUUAUCAUGGUAACAGGCUGGUUUAGCAGCCCCUAUUUUGUAUGUGGGUGGCUUAGAAGAGAAGUGGAAUAGGUGACUUAUGUUCUACAGAAGAUGAACUUAUAUGUGCAUCUUGUGUAUGAUAGAGGUGCUACUCAAUGAGCUGCCCUCAGCCAGGGGGUCCGCUGUACCAGUUUUUGUAGCCAUUAGCAAGCAAAGGAGUGAUUGGGCUAGCAUCACAUUGCUAGCUACCUUUGAUUCUCAUAGACCAAAAGACCAAGUGCCUCUUGCAGCUGGGUUGACUGGGAGAAGGGGCAGCCUCCAGCAUGAGUCUGAGUCAAAACUUGAACAAACAGCUCUGGAUACUAUUGUGAGAUAUUUUAACCACCAUGCUCACAUGAGUGCUAAUUGUGGCUCCCAAUGUAUGGCUGUGCUCUGAAAUGCUUUUUAAUGGGAUACAGAUGCCUGUUUUCCACUAUACCUAAAAUAAACUUUCAAACAAUUUUAA